rnacentral:pre_miRNA from 1 species
CUGUACUCUACAGUGCAUGUGUCUCCAGUGUGAGUAGGCGACUGGAGAUGCGGCUCUGUU